GAUGAACGCUGGCGGCGUGCCUAAUACAUGCAAGUCGAGCGAAUGGAUUAAGAGCUUGCUCUUAUGAAGUUAGCGGCGGACGGGUGAGUAACACGUGGGUAACCUGCCCAUAAGACUGGGAUAACUCCGGGAAACCGGGGCUAAUACCGGAUAACAUUUUGAACCGCAUGGUUCGAAAUUGAAAGGCGGCUUCGGCUGUCACCUAUGGAUGGACCCGCGUCGCAUUAGCUAGUUGGUGAGGUAACGGCUCACCCAGGCAACGAUGCGUAGCCGACCUGAGAGGGUGGUCGGCCGCACUGGGACUGAAGCAGGGCCCAGACACCGACCGGAGGCAGCAGUAGGUAAUCUUCCGCAAUGGACGAAAGUCUGACGGAGCAACGCCGCGUGAGUGAUGAAGGCUUUCGGGUCGUAAAACUCUGUUGUUAGGGAAGAACAAAUGCUAGUUGAAUAAGCUGGCACCUUGACGGUACCUAACCAGAAAGCCACGGCUAACUACGUGCCAGCCGCCGCCGUAA
rnacentral:rRNA from 1 species